UACGGAGGAUGCAAGCGUUAUCCGGAAUCAUUGGGCGUAAAGCGUUCGUAGGUGGCUUUUCAAGUCUGCUGUCAAAGCACAAGGCUUAACCUUGUAAAGGCAGUGGAAACUGAAAUGGCUAGAGUGCGGUAGGGGUAGAGGGAAUUCCCAGUGUAGCGGUGAAAUGCGUAGAGAUUGGGAAGAACACCGGUGGCGAAAGCGCUCUACUGGGCCUGCACUGACACUGAGGGACGAAAGCGUGGGGAGCAAACAGG
rnacentral:rRNA from 1 species